GGAAAGGUGGCUGAGUGGUCUAAAGCACACGCUUGGAAGGCGUGCACAUAUGGAAAUAUGUCGAGGGUUCGAAUCCCUCCCUUUCCGCCA
rnacentral:tRNA from 1 species